AGAGUUUGAUCCUGGCUCAGAACUAACAUUGGCGGCAGGCCUAACACAUGCAAGUCGAGCGAGGUUUAGAACCGAGCGGCGAACGGGUGCGUAAUACUUGGAAAUCUGCCCUGAAGUGGGGGAUAACUAGCAGAAAUGCUGGAUAAUACCGCAUAAUCCCUAACGGGCAAAGCGCGCAGCGCUUCAGGAUGAGUCCAAGGCUGAUUAGCUAGUUGGUGGGGUAAAAGCCCACCAAGGCGACGAUCAGUAGCUGGUCUUAGAGGAUGAUCAGCCACACUGGAACUGAGACACGGUCCAGACUCCUACGGGAGGCAGCAGUGGGGAAUCUUGCACAAUGGGGGCAACCUUGAUGCAGCCAUGCCGCGUGAACGAUGACGGUCUUCGGAUUGUAAAGUUCUUUUGGCGGGGACGACGAUGACGGUACCCGCAGAAUAAGUCACGGCUAACUUCGUGCCAGCAGCCGCGGUAAUACGAAGGUGGCGAAUGUUGUUCGGAUUUACUGGGCGUAAAGCGUCCGCAGGUGGUUUAUUAAGUCAGGUGUGAAAGCCCCGCGCUCAACGUGGGAAUUGCAUUUGAAACUGGUUGACUAGAAGGCGAGAGAGGUGGGCGGAAUUGCAGGUGAAGAAGUGAAAUUCGUAGAUAUCUGCAGGAACACCCAUGGCGAAGGCAGCUCACUGGCUCGCUCUUGACACUCAUGGACGAAAGCGUGGGGAUCAAACAGGAUUAGAUACCCUGGUAGUCG
rnacentral:rRNA from 1 species